rnacentral:rRNA from 1 species
CGAACGGGUGAGUAACGCGUGAGGAAUCUGCCUCAAAGAGGGGGACAACAGUUGGAAACGACUGCUAAUACCGCAUAAGCCCACGGGUCGGCAUCGACCUGAGGGAAAAGGAGCAAUCCGCUUUGAGAUGGCCUCGCGUCCGAUUAGCUAGUUGGUGAGGUAACGGCCCACCAAGGCGACGAUCGGUAGCCGGACUGAGAGGUUGAACGGCCACAUUGGGACUGAGACACGGCCCAG